rnacentral:rRNA from 1 species
UACGUAGGGUGCGAGCGUUGUCCGGAAUUAUUGGGCGUAAAGCGUCCGCAGGUGGCACUUCAAGUCUGUCGUCAAAGACCGGGGCUUAACCCUGGAAAGGCGAUGGAAACUGAAAGGCUAGAGAGAGGUAGGGGUAGAGGGAAUUCCCAGUGUAGCGGUGAAAUGCGUAGAGAUUGGGAAGAACAUCGGUGGCGAAAGCGCUCUACUGGACCUCAUCUGACACUCAGGGACGAAAGCUAGGGGAGCGAAUGGG